CAGUAGGGAAUCUUGCGCAAUGGGCGAAAGCCUGACGCAGCCAUGCCGCGUGAAUGAUGAAGGUCUUAGGAUUGUAAAAUUCUUUCACCGGGGACGAUAAUGACGGUACCCGGAGAAGAAGCCCCGGCUAACUUCGUGCCAGCAGCCGCGGUAAUACGAAGGGGGCUAGCGUUGCUCGGAAUUACUGGGCGUAAAGGGCGCGUAGGCGGAUAGUUUAGUCAGAGGUAAAAGCCCAGGGCUCAACCUUGGAACUGCCUUUGAUACUGGCUAUCUUGAGUACGGGAGAGGUGUGUGGAACUCCGAGUGUAGAGGUGAAAUUCGUAGAUAUUCGGAAGAACACCAGUGGCGAAGGCGGCUCACUGGCCCGAUACUGACGCUGAGGUGCGAAAGCGUGGGGAGCAAACAGGAUUAGA
rnacentral:rRNA from 1 species